rnacentral:rRNA from 1 species
AGUGAACGCUGGCGGUAGGCCUAACACAUGCAAGUCGAACGGCAGCACAGUAAGAGCUUGCUCUUACGGGUGGCGAGUGGCGGACGGGUGAGGAAUACAUCGGAAUCUACUUUUUCGUGGGGGAUAACGUAGGGAAACUUACGCUAAUACCGCAUACGACCUACGGGUGAAAGCAGGGGAUCUUCGGACCUUGCGCGAUUGAAUGAGCCGAUGUCGGAUUAGCUAGUUGGCGGGGUAAAGGCCCACCAAGGCGACGAUCCGUAACUGGUCUGAGAGGAUGAUCAGCCACACUGGAACUGAGACACGGUCCAGACUCCUACGGGAGGCAGCAGUGGGGAAUAUUGGACAAUGGGCGCAAGCCUGAUCCAGCCAUACCGCGUGGGUGGAGAAGGCCUUCGGGUUGUAAAGCCCUUUUGUUGGGAAAGAAAAGCAGCAGGUUAAUACCCCGCUGUUCUGACGGUACCCAAAGAAUAGGCACCGGCUAACUUCGUG